UAACUAAAACUCUUGUGUGAGGUUAUUUCCAGUUGUGAGGUUGGGAGGGGAUGUGGAGGCGGAGCAGCAUUUCGGCACAAUAGGAGAAAUUGGGGGGAAAAAGCUGUGUACUAAGGCAACAUCUGUUGGAAAGAAAAUCUGUAGGUAUAAAAUGUAGUUAUAAGUUAUAAAUAAAUGCUUGAGGAAGCAAAAAGUGAGUGCAGAGUUGACUGCGUCAUUUUUGCAUUACCUUUGUAACAGCAAGACUCAUAUUUGCUGAGUGGAUUUGAUGAUAGGCUAGUCGACUCCACUAUGAUUAAAGUGUCAUGACCGCUGAUGUUAACUGCAGAAUUCUAUUGGCUGGAACAAUCAGCUUUUCAUACAGGGGACCUGCAAGGGAGUUUCUCCAUUUAGGACUGGGUGGUUUUGUGAAAGGCCCAGAGCAAAUGCUGCUCUGACAGGAAAUAGCUUACUGAAGUGGUAUGUUUUUACAAAGCACUCUGACAGCAGCAAAUGUGGAACAGAUUUCUAGAGAAGUUGGUGGUUUCCAACUACUCUGGCAUCUUGACUUUCAGCCUUCCUAUCUGCAUGCUAGUAUUCCAGCCACAGAACUUGCUGUGCAUAGGAUUGGUUUGUUUCAAAGAUAAGUAAAGUUCCAUAAGAAAUAGCAUCUUGAUAUGU